rnacentral:telomerase_RNA from 1 species
CACUUCAACCUUCGGUCACAUUAGGUGGCUUGUUCUAACCCUACAUUUUUCAACUCUCCUCAUUGCACUUUCUGUUGGUUUUCAUGACAAGUUUUCAACAGUAAGAGGUGAGUGCUCGGUUCAUGCAUGGAAAAAAACUUGUCUUGGUUGCAGUGUACUUCAACAUAAUAGACUGUUGGAUGGCAUUGUUGAGAUUCCGGAAAAUGGCUGUUGGUUUUCGUUUCCAUGUUAUUUUCCGUGACGAGACAAUGUUGUUCCUGUAACACGUAUUAUUAUGUAAUAGUAUAAAUAAAAAAGCAAGGAUACGAAUUGGUCGUUUUUGAAGAAUAAAAUUGACUGUAAACUUGCUGACAAUA